rnacentral:lncRNA from 1 species
CGGUUCUCUCUGUCUCUUCACUGCACGCUCUUCCAGAACCUCAAUAAGUGCAUCCUUGUCUCUCGACUCAAGCUACAACUCUAUAAGCUUGCAGUUUAACGCAUGGAAUCUCUCUUCCCACAAGUCUCUCUCUUGCUUCAUCUUGGAGAGUGCGUGUUCCAACUCCUCUAUAUCUUGGUUAGGGAGAGUUGAUGGCUCAACCACAACCAUAGACAUAGGU